rnacentral:tRNA from 1 species
GAAGGAGCGCGUCUUCUAUUCUUAGUCUUAGGGGUUGCUUAAUGAUUGGGUAUUAUUCGUUCGUUCUCUAUAAAAUAAAAAAGGAGAUUUUUGUAUCUACUUAAAAAAGUUUUUUUCUUUUAAAAAAUUUUUUUAGAGAAAAGAAAGAAGAUUAAAAAAAGGUCAAAAAUAUGAAGUUGAAAUUAAUAAUUAAGUCAAUCUAAAUACAGGGCGGA